GCAGGCAGUCGCGCGGCGGCUCUCCUCGAGCGCGUGCGCAGCGGCUCUCCUCCCCACAGGCAGUCGUGCGGCGGCCUCAUCCCCGCCGGCGAGCCUCCACUCCCCUCCGCCGGUACGCCUCUAUCGCCGGUGGCCUCCCCCUCGGCAGACAGCCUCGCCUCGCUUGCUUCUAUUGCUGUGCUCCACCACGGAGCCCUAGGUGGAGCUACGAACCCCGUGAUCCCCGACAGUGUGGCACCGGAGCUCGGCGGCGACAGCGGGCACAUCCCCCUCAUGCCCUAGGUGGAGCAACGAACCCCGUGAGUCCAUGCUCGUACCCUCACCCCUGUCCUCCCGCGAUGUCCCCACUGUCCUCCACCCUCACCCGACGCAAUGUCGAUGCCCCGGCCGAGGAGUCUCCUUCCUCCCCUGUCCCACUCGCGUGAAUCAACAGGCGAGGUCGUCCUCACCCUCGGCCUAUGGUGGCAGACCGUGCUCAACAUUGCCCCAAGAAUGCGACUCUCCUCGCCGCACUGCUCUAUCUCGGGGACCUCGCCUAGCAUUGCCCCCUGCCCCGCGUCGACGAGGUGGAGUCCUUCCUCGCCCGCACCUUCCGGAUGAUCCAGGUGCUACUCGAGGCUGUAUGCAUUGUGUGGGGGAAUAAGGGAUAUGUAGCUGCUUACAUUUUGAAGAGAUUUGAUUAUACCUUAAGCACGAUUGCAACUGAAACUUUGGCUGUGGGUGAUGGGUUCUGCUAUUUUGGUAUGUUAUCAUUCAUCUCUAUGAUAGAGCAGAUUCAGAAUGGUGAGUUUGGCAGGGGUUAAUUGUUUCAAUUUGUUAGAAUUUUUCAAACGAAAGUUGUCUCAAUUUUUGGAUCAUUCUUGGUUUUAUGACGAAUGCCCAAACUACAGAUUAUCUAAUGGUCAAACUGAAUAUUUGUUUUAUAGCAAAAAAACUAUCUAGAAAAUUACCUCUUUCAUGUUUUUGUUCAGCGGCGGUCCACGCGGCUACCAAUAGGGAUGAUACAGGUUUUGAUAUUCUUUUAUUUAUUAAUUGGUUCAAUUGGAGAAUUACCUCAACUUAUUGGGAUUAAUGUUCUUUGUUCUUUGAUGACCCCUUGCUGAGUGAAAAAUACCUGUGUAUGUUACAAAAUAAACUACUUGUAUGUUAAAAAAAGUUUCUCCCUGCCAUUACAUUGACAUCUCAAACUCCUCGCACCUGUUGCCUUUUGGAACAUAUACGUUAUAACCCACAUUUUGCAUUGUGAUUUCUCUACUACCAACACCAAUUUUCUUAGAAGGCUAUUUAGCAGUAAUUUUUGUACUAGCUACAAGAAACCCAUUCUAUGCAAUAAAUAUCCAUAUUACGUAGGUCUGCAGAUUACGGCAUAUGCUGCAAUAGCAAAUGACACAUUUGUGGCAUAUUGCUUUCCUUUCAAAGCUUUGAGAAUCAUGUAGUCAUGCAUUAGAUUCACAUGCACCAAAUUUAAGCUAACUGGAAAGUGGGAUCAUAUUUUUUUAUCUCGUGCAAAUAACUAUUAAACUGCUCAAGUUUCUUUAUUUGGUAAUUAAUUAAAAUUUUCAACCAUGUCAUAUUGCAUAUCAAUUGCCAACUUUUUCUACACAGAUGCACAUGCUCAAUUAUGAUAAUGUCAUAUGGUCUGUCAACCAUAUGUGGUCAAUGCAAACUAAAUUGUUUUCUUCUUUAUAUGUUUUGAUUUGAUUUUUUGUAUUUGUCACUGGGAUUAUAUUUUUCUCUCAACGGUUUUGCUGGUUGCUGUUUCAAUUCAAGUCUGCACUGCUAAGGUGAAUUUGAGUGACGAGAUUGAUUUGGAAGAUUAUGUUUGCAGACCGGGUAAGAUCAGUGUUGCUGAUGUUGAGUUGGUUUCAUGGCGCAGACCAAGAUUUUUAUGCAUUUGUUGUUUUCUAACUAUUGUAUUGUCAGGGUACUUUUGUCCUGCCCUAGCCAAAGCAUUCUCCAUUCAUUUCCAUAAUACUAAUGCUCUUAUUCAUUCUUACAAGUAAUUUGUCUCGCGGAAUACAUUAAGAUUUGCAUGACGUCUAAUAGAAUAUGUUUAUUGUAUUAGUAUGUUGGAAGGGGUGAAAAUGAAUCUUGGUAUCUUAGAUCUGGGUUGCUUCCUGUCAUAGAAUUUGGUUACAAUGUAUCUUUUGGUGGAAAUCAUUUUUUUGCUAUUUGUGUUCCAAAUUCUGCAUGUUGGGUGAGUUAGCCAAGUUUGUUUCAUCUAUUUAUGAGUUCUGACAUUGAAAUGUUUACCAUGAACCUCCUCGCUGACACGUCGCCUCGCCCCCGAGCUGACUUCCUGACGCCACCCUCGCACAAGAUCCCGAUGUGGCAAUGGCGACCAGCGACGGGCGCUCAACGCCACCGCGCCGCCUGCGAACCCAUGGUGAGAAGUGUGGUAUCGAUCUAGAGCCGAAGGACUUCCCCAACACCCCUUCCUCCAUCGGCGUGACAUCGGCCAGCUCAUCUGCGACGACGAGGCAUCUUCGACCGACUUCUCGACACCCCAUCCUCCAUCAACGCGGCUCCAGUACCCCUUCCUCCAUCGGCGCAGCAGCAUCCAAUUCAUCUACGACGACAAGGCAUCUUCGAGCAACCACGCCCUACUACAAGUGGUGUUAGUCCAUCUCAGAUAAGUGGAGUAAUUUGUUUGUAUCUGUAUCUUCUAUUUUAUUUCUUCCCUAAUCCUGAUUAAUAGCCUAAUCACGCGACAACUAAUACAUGUCGAUUUCUUUCCUUAGCCGGUGUCAUGCGCAUGUGAGAUCUAGGGAGAGGAAGAGGAGGAAGGGUUGUGGGGACCGGGGGUGCAAGAUGGCGGAUUCACCUGCAACUACAAGAAAAGAAAGAGCGAGAGAUUUACAGAAACCUUCAGAGCCACGGAGGAGGAGGAGGAGAUUAGGAGGAUCUCUACGGCGCUGACGGAUUAGUUAAGGAACGAAAUAUCACAUCGUGUCCGGUAACCAGAUUCAGAUGUGGGCACCAUGUGUGGGUGCAAGGCCAGGCCGAGGCGAAAGAGAUUCGACGAUUGAGAAUACAUCAAAGAAUAAAAAUGUGGAACUCGGAUUUUCAGAUGAAGAGCGUGACCAAGAAUUUCCUGAUUUUCCAUCAUUUAUUCCAUUCUUACCUCCUCUGAGUGCAGCUAACCUAAAGGUCUACUAUGCCACACGUUUCACCAUCAUAGUUGGGAUAAUGGUGUUCGGUGGUUUUCUUGCACCAAUCUUAAACUUGGUCUAGGGGCACAUCUUAUGAAGACUCCAUCCGCAGCGUUCAUCUGUCGACGUAGUUGAGAAGUGCACUCAGGUUAUACAUCCAGUAAAGAGCAAGACAUUUGAAAGCUUAUGGGCCAACUGUGUUGCUAUUGAUGCAAGCGAAAGUUGGCUGAUGAAUUCUCUAUGCCUACUUCUAGAGUGAUGUUCAAAGAGGUUGACGCUCCUUCACCAUCCCCAGCUUUGUGGAAUGGGCCACAGGUAGCCAUUUAGGAUGACAAAGCCACAAGGGUGUCCUUCAUCAAGGCUAUGCUAGAAGCCUCAGACUUGUGUAUGAGGAAAAUUCAUAAAAAUGGUACACAGAAGCUGGGAAGAAAGUGGAAGAGGAAUUUAGCACUUGCCCUCUGUCAGUCCUAAUGAUGAGCGUUAAGAACAACACCAAGAUACUGAAAGCAAACAUGGCUUGUUCAGUCGGGCAGCGGCAACAGAGGGGAUGGGGCCAAUGACGGAGGCGGAGAGGAGAACCCAUCGAUUUGGUGGCGUAAGUGGGAGCUCAUCGAGGCCGGUGCGUUUGGGCAGCCACCGGCCGGUCCACCUCUUCAAUAAUCGUCCUUCAUCGCCCUUCAGUUUUCCACACGUGAAAUAGCCAUAUGGAUAUGUAACAACAUAAAUUUGUUCAGUGGGAAAUAAGUUUCUAUAAUACAUUUAUGCACCCAGGACCUGAGAUCUAGAAGGACACAACAGGCAAGGUGGAUGUAUUCGUAGUUGAUUAUAUGUUAAAAGCAAAUUUCGGAUGACAUUGGUGGAGAUUGCUUAUCUCUAAGACACAUCUACUCAUUCUUUGAAUGGAAAUCACAUCCACGUUCUAGAAAGUCUAUUUUUACUUCAAAAGUACUCCUUCUGUUCCAAAUAAAUUAGUGUUAGCAUCUCUGCACUCUAUUGCCCACUUCCCCCCUCAUCGGUGUUUUUUAUUGUUGCAUAUCAAUUUUGUGGCUCAAAUGCCCCUUUGAAACAUAUAGCACCAAAAUUAUCCUAAUUAAUUAAUUGGUUUCUAACUGGCUACUCUAUUUGCAACAAUGGGGAUAUAUAACCUUACCAUGUCUGUUUAUCACAGUGCAUCUUAGAUUGCAUCGUAUUGUAAUUGUUUUAGUUCCUUGACAUACUGUUUGUGCAACAGGAACUGCUUGAUGUACUUACGGUUGGGUAUCUGUGUAGAUGUAGCUGCCAAGUUGUCUAAAGAAAAGUUCCUGACCUUUCACAUGCUGCCACAUUGCCACAAUACCUUAAGAGCUUUUCUAUACUUCUAUGAUUUGUGUUUUCGAGAUCUGAGUUAUUUAAAUGUUGUCUGCUAUUUUGAAUUUUUAUAUGAAGAUCAAAGUUCUCAAGUGAUAAAGUAAUUAAUAUAACAAGCGGACAACACAUAGACAAACUAAUUAAUGUAGCAUAUAGACGAAUAAGGAAUCCUGAAACAUUGACCGUGAAGAAAAUUAUUGUGCACAUAUGCACUCUUUCUCCAAAAUUUGGCAUUUAAUCUUAUUGCAACAUACUUGUACAGAGGGGCGAGGGUUGUUCAGUGCUUUGACAUGUGUGCAACUAUUCAAGCACAAUGGUUAGAUGAUAUCCCCAUUCAUUUUAGAUUAUUACAUUGUGGUGUUCGACUUCUUCAGUCAAGCAGCAAUCAUGCAACAUGCCUUACUGUAGUUUUUUAUCACUGCACAUGUUGCUGGAUAAAUUUAUAGACUGGAGGAUUAUAGAGGACUAACAAGUGCUACUGGGAGAUUCUCGAGCACCAUUGAACUAAGAGAUUCCAAAUAGUUCUUUGGAGUCUAUUGUUGAUGUUGGCGGGGAUAAUCUAGCAGAGAUUUGUCAGAUUUUUUGUGCAACACGGAGGCUACAUGAGGCAGCAACGAUCCCAUUCUUCUCGCAUGCCACUUUACACAAGCUAAGGAUAGCUUCUGGUCUCACUCAUGGUUGUGGCAGGGAAAGCCGAGUCAGUAGGGUUUGUCAUGUAGCUGGAGUUAUCUCAGACCGCAUAUUAGAUGCAGUGAUGAUGUUUACAUUUACCGUGCAAGCAAGAUGACUUAUAUUAUGCCUUAGGACAAUAAGUAUUGUUUUCACUCUAAUGAAAUACUUGGUAAAAAGUUGUCUCUGUAGUUGUAUAUUUGACUGUGAAUAUUUGAACCCACUAUUAUAAUUGUUGCUAAUUGAGGUCAGAUUUCAGAGGCCAAA